GAUGAACGCUGGCGGCGUGCCUAAUACAUGCAAGUCGAGCGAACAGAUGAGGAGCUUGCUCCUCUGACGUUAGCGGCUGACGGGUGAGUAACACGUGGAUAACCUACCUAUAAGACUGGGAGAACUUCGGGAAACCGGAGCUACUACCGGAUAAUAUAUUGAACCGCAUGGUUCAAUAGUGAAAGACGGUUUUGCUGUCACUUAUAGACGGAUCCGCGCCGCAUUAGCUAGUUGGUAAGGUAACGGCUCACCAAGGCAACGAUGCGUAGCUGACCUGAGAGGGUGAUCGGCCACACUGGAACUGAGACACGGUCCAGACUCCUACGGGAGGCAGCAGUAGGGAAUCUUCCGCAAUGGGCGAAAGCCUGGCGGAGCAACGCCGCGUGAGUGAUGAAGGUCUUCGGAUCGUAAAACUCUGUUAUUAGGAAAGAACAAAUGUAUAAGUAACUAUGCACGUCUUGACGGUACCUAAUCAGAAAGCCACGGCUAACUACGUG
rnacentral:rRNA from 1 species